rnacentral:rRNA from 1 species
ACGAAGGGGGCUAGCGUUGUUCGGAUUUACUGGGCGUAAAGCGCGUGUAGGCGGACUUGUAAGUUGGGGGUGAAAUCCCGAGGCUCAACCUCGGAACUGCCUCCAAAACUACAAGUCUGGAGCAAGAUAGAGGCAAGUGGAAUUGCGAGUGUAGAGGUGAAAUUCGUAGAUAUUCGCAGGAACACCAGUGGCGAAGGCGACUUGCUGGAUCUUUGCUGACGCUGAGACGCGAAAGCGUGGGGAGCAAACAGGA